rnacentral:tRNA from 2 species
GGGGGCGUAGCUCAGCUGGUUAGAGCGUCUGCCUGUCACGCAGAAGGUCACGGGUUCGAGUCCCGCCGUCCCCG